AAUAGAUACCCUGGUAGUCCACGCCGUAAACGGUGGGCACUAGGUGUGGGCAACAUUCCACGUUGUCCGUGCCGCAGCUAACGCAUUAAGUGCCCCGCCUGGGGAGUACGGCCGCAAGGCUAAACUACAAAGGGGAAUUAGGACGGGGCCCGCACAAGCGGCGGAGCAUGUGGCUUAAUUCGACGCAACGCGAAGAACCUUACCAAGGCUUGACAUACACCGGAAGGCAUCAGAGAUGGUGCCCCCCUUGUGGUCGGUGUACAGGUGGUGCAUGGCUGUCGUCAGCUCGUGUCGUGAGAUGUUGGGUUAAGUCCCGCAACGAGCGCAACCCUUGUCCCGUGUUGCCAGCAACUCUUCGGAGGUUGGGGACUCACGGGAGACCGGCCGGGGUCAACGUCGGAGGAAGGUGGGGACGACGUCAAGUCAUCAUGCCCCUUAUGUCUUGGGCUGCACACGUGCUACAAUGGCCGGUACAAUGAGCUGCGAUACCGCAAGGUGGAGCGAAUCUACGAAAAAGCCGGUCUCAGUUCGGAUUGGGGU
rnacentral:rRNA from 1 species